AAAGGUGAGUUGAUUCCUUCUCACAUCACAUCACUGUAAUUUCUGCCAUCUUCACAUCUCUUACUAAUAACUCUGGUCCUCCUGCCUCUUCUUAUAAGUGCCUUAUGGUAACAUUGGGCCCACCCAGAUAAUCAGGAUCAUCACUCUAACUCAUCAUGCUUAAUCCCAUCUGCCAAGUCACUUUUGCCAUGUACUGUAACAUAUUCACGAAUUCUAGGGAUUAGGACAUGGACAUCUUUGAGGGCUAUUUUUCUGCCUAGGACUCUGAGGUAUGCUAGUAGCUGAAAGAAAAACAUCAGAGGUCUUUUCCUUGUAAUUAUACAGGGAAGUUGCUUCUUGCUUAGCAAAUACAAGUGCUUAGGCCAAACCUGUCUGAGAUUUUAGCUCAAAAAGAAGUGCUCCAUUCUUUAAGUUUAGAUUUCAUUCCAAAUGUGUAACCAGCAAUUACUUUCUAUAGUCCUUUAUUUAUGGCCUAUUACUUGAGAUCCUGAUACAGUAAAUUCAUAAUGCAUUAGGUCAUCAGACAAUGACAUGGUUGUGUGUGGUACAUGGUCAAUUUUUUGGAACUUGACCUAGGAGUCUCCUUUUCUCCUACUGCUAACUAUGAAAGCUCUUAUGAAUCAUUUUUGUUUGUCACUGUACCUCAUUUUCUCAUCUGCAGAUUGCAUAUGAUCACUCAAUCUGUCUUAUUCAACUGCUAGACUAAUAAGAUCACAAUGAAAAAUGUUCUAUAAAGUAUAGAGCUGUCUUUCUAUACAGCAUACCUUUCUAAGUCUUCUCAAGUGGGGGGCUUUUGUACUGAAGUGUUUUAUUUACUUUAAUGUAAACAUGCACCAUGGUAAAUCUUUGCACAUUACUGAAAAGAACUUAGUGUUUAAUAAAAUCGUACCUAAUAUUCCCUCAAAUGUUAAACUUUAUGGUAAAUUAGACAAAGAUUUAUUAUGCCAUUUCUUUUUUUGAAUGGUAAUGUUAGUGCAAGUGACAGUUGAUGGUCUCACUCUUCUUUCCAUAGUUCUGUUACAUAAAUGUGAAACUUUAAUACCUAAAUAAUUUUAAAUAUAUUUUUAAUGAGGAAGUCUUCAGGGCAAUGGUUUUCCAAGUUAUUCUGUGACAGAAGGCGUUUUGCAAGAAAAUAUUGCAUUGAGCUGCCAUAUAUAAAACAAAUAUACGUGGAGUUACUCUGGUUGUAUAAGACAAUACGGCACCAAGUCCUUUGGUUAGUGCCCCCAAAACACAUAUUCCAGUGUCUGCUAAUGUCACUGGUUUCUAGGAAACACAGCGGGUUUCAGUGGAUAGUGUUAUUAAUUUGUAAAAUAUUUAAUAAGUAUUAAAAUAUGCUAAAUAAUAUAUAUUGGUAUCAAGGAGCUAUGGGAACUCUAAAAAGAGGGUGUGUAUGUGUGUGUGUCAGGUUAAACAAAUGUGUUCUCCAAAAAUUUAUUUUGUAAAUGUUAAUGCUAACUCAGUGUUUAUUCUCUGAGCUAACCUCACCUAUAAAACCAUAACACGUGAAAAUUAACACUUCAAAUUGUUUCCUUGAAGAUUAUGCAGUAAAUUUUAAAAACAUGUGUUUCAUAUAUAUUGUUUCUAUAAUACGCAUUAUACACACAGUAUUUCAUUCCAAUAUUACAUUCUGCAUAAUUUUGAAAGUCUUUUCUGCAUCUUUCCCCCAAAAACAGAGAAUAGAGGCUAUAGUGUUGGGCGUUUAAUGCCUGAAUGAGCACAUGAAACAUUUUUGUUAAUCAUCUUAUGAAAGAAAUAUUUCACAAGAUUUUUUUGUCAUAAUAACAUAUGUAGGUUAGUUUGUAAUAAGAAAUCUUAUAGUUGUAUUUUUUUCUCAAGCUAGCAUAUUUUGUAGUCAUUUCCAAUUUCAUAGUAGAAUUUAGAAUUUGGUUCAUACAUACCUUCAGAAAUGAUGUUGAUACUUUAGCCUGGUUAAUUGUCUAGGAUGUGCAUCUUGUGUACUUAUGAAUAUACUUAAAAUGGAUAAGAGAAGUAACAUAUAAAACUUUUAAGGAUGAGUAUUUGGUAAGAGAGAGAAUUCUAUUUGUUUUUUUAAAAAUAUGGCAUCAUGUUAAUCCAUUAUUUUUAUGUGUGUUUUGGAGAAAUUGAUUACUUAAUGUUUCACAUAGGUACAAAAUUUAGCUCAUAUUUGUCAUCAAAAUAAAAUAUCUUGUGAGAAACAGGUAAUUUUUCAAGAAGAUUACUUAUUUAGUAAAUAAAACCAUAAAAUGUUUAAACAUUUUGGUUCAAAAUUUAAAAGGCCACAUAUGUUUUCAUUCUUUAUAAAAGGUUAUUAAAUUUAGUUUUAAACUUAAUUCACAUAAAGGGUAUUUAUUAUGAUACUAGGGGGUAAUUGCACAGUUCUGCAUUCACUUAGAUUUCUUUUUUCCCCAUCAUCCCAGAAGCCAGAAUGUAAGCUACAUUUCUGUUUGUAUUGAGCCUUUGAGAGACUAUACUGUAUAGCUAUUGGAAAAACUUGCAUAUGUGUCCAAGUUCUGCCUCUUCUAAAAUUAAUUGCCAUAGAGGAAGUUGGUUAGCCACAGAGAGUUUCUUAGGCUUUCUAAAUUUAAUUUAUUAGUCCCUAGAAAGUUCAAGUCUGUAAAUACUAGGAGUUUUUACAAGGAAGUUAUAAAGAAGUAAAUGACAAGAUAUUUGAAAGUGCACGACAUUGUGUAUGACGUAUAUUAAUUGACCAAUGAAUGCUUUACAUCCCUUGAUCUAUUAACUAGAAAUUAAAUGGCAGGUAGAUAACUCCUAAGUUUAUAUCAACAAUUUCCCCUCUUCUGAAUUCCACACUCAUAUAUCCAGUUGCAAUAAUUGGCUUCUUGACUUAGAUAUCUAAUAGACAUCUCAUACUCUUCCAAUUAUUGCCUCCAAAUCUGCUCCAUCCGUUAUAAUAUGGCAACUCCAGCCUUUCAGUUCCUCUGUCAGAAAUCCUGAAGGCAUCCCUGACUCCUCUUUCUCUCUUACACCUCACCUCCAAUUUAUCGUUAGUCCUCCUUGCAGGAUAAUCCAGAAUCUGACAUUUCUUACCAUCUCUACUGCUAUAACUCUAGUAGGCUAGCAUAACGCCUAGACCUGAUUACUACAGAAACCUCGUAGCAGUUCUUUUGGCUUCCACCUUUCCCUCACUAUCUAUCCACAACAUAUUUGCUUGAGCGAUCCUUUCAGAACCUGAAUCAGUUAAUGUCAAUCCUCUGCUCAAAAACCCCCAGUGGUUCCCAUGUUAGACCUUACAAUUGCCUACAUGGCCCGUGCAAUUGGGCUCUUUUUUCUUUGUGAUUACCUCAUCUCUCAUUACCUUUCUCCUCACUUACUCUGAUGCAGCUAUACUUAUCCUUACCAUUCUUUUUGCAUGCCAGGCACAUUCUCAUUGUGCUGGCUGUUUUCUUUGCCUGGACCGCUUUCUCUGCAGUUAUCCCCAUAGCUCACUUCCUCUCUGCCUGUGUCUUCAUGUCUUUGAUUAAAUGCAACAUCUGUAUGCCUGAUCCCUCAUGCAGGACUCCCAUUUCAAAUGGAAACCCCACCCUCCUUCAUACCAGCCCUCUUUAUCAUACUCUAAAGGACUUAUCUUCUAACACCUGCUAAAAUUUACUCACACAUUUUUUAAUUUUUUCACUUGAAUGUGAGCUCUACAAUGUUAGCUGUUUGUGUGUGUAUGUGUGUGUGUGUUUCAGUUUUGUCUACUGAUAUUUCCCAAGCAUCUAGAACAGUGUCGGGCAAUUAAUAGUUGCUCAAUAAGUAUUUGUGGAAUGAUUUGGGUAAACCGCAAUUUGAUUAGAAAAAUGUGUUCUUAGAGUUCUUUCAUUUCAUGCAAUAUUGCUUAUUUAAGAGGAAUCAACAGAUUUACAAGAAAAA